GAAAGACCAGCAAAUGCAAAUGGUUGAAAUGCCAUCCAGAACUCUCUACCCUUCUCCGAAUGCAACGAGUCCAGACAAAGUAAAGACGUCUUUUCUCAGAAGCAGUUUUUUUGGAGACGUCACUUCCUCUUCCUCUUAUCAGCACAAACUAGAGAUAUUUCUCAGAUCAGUAGUCUUCUUCAACUAGUAUAUCUAUCCUACAAAUUGAAGAACACGCAACCUCCAUAUCAACCAAUAUCCAUUCAUGUCUUCACUGCAACCCAUGGGAGAUGCUCCGAGAAGAAUCGGACUGCAGAGUGGCAUCACAAGACAAGGUCGGGAAGCUGCAGCUCCUUGUAUUGCUGUUCAUACUGUUUUAAGCAGGCAUGGAAUGGGCAGCCGGCAGAAAAUUGAAGGAUUCUUUUAUUUUCCUGGAAGCAUCUCCUUCAAGCCAUAAACCAAGUCCCCCCAUGGUACAAUAUUUCAACACCGAGUUCUAGUUCUAUAGCCUUACAGGCUUGCUUUUGUUCCAGUCACUAUCAAUUAUUAUAGAAGCGGCACUAUACAGGAGGUUCUGCAACAUGGCUGCUGGAGUCUCAGUUUAUCUAUUAGUUUAACCAGACACUGGUGUGAUGUUAUGGUUAUUGAUAUAGAAGCUUUGAGCUCCAUCCUUAAUGGAGUAGUAGUUACUAGUUACCGCCGUUUCGAAAAUGUACAAUUAUUUUUGUAUCUUGAAGGACUUAAAACCUAUCAAUGACCUAUAUCAGUCUGAAACGUCCCACCCUUUACCACCAAAAAUUGUAUCCUUGUAAAUAUUGCUUUUGUUAUUAUAUCCUUGUGAAUGUUGUUUAUUUCCA